CGUGCCUUGCAGGCGACGCCGCCGCCGCCGCCUCCUCCUCUCCCGCAGCCCCCGCGCCCCGCCAGCCCGAGCAAAAGGGGAGAAGAAACAAAAGUUAUCACUGAAAAUUUGAGAGGCACCCCAAAAUCCUGGAGGAUGGAGCAUUCCUGGAAGGAUACCUGCAGCAGUCAGUGUCAGUCCUCUGUAAGAGCUCUGCGGGCUUAGAGACCUGAAGGCAAAGAUUUCAGUACCCACAGAUGAGCAGAAUCACCUGGUCAUAGAGAGGGUGCAGCUGCCCAGCGACGAUGCCCAGUUUGAUGCCUCACACCAUGACAGUGAGAAAGGAGGUCGAGCUUCCCGGAGUACAGGAAGUCCAGGAUGACGGAGAAGGCCUCGGAGGUGACGAUGUCCAGGGAGGCGGUGCUGUGGCGGCCGCUGUCCUGGAUGUAGUGGAUGAGCAGCGCUCGGAAGUAGCCGCU